CUUCAAAUUCUUCACAUACAUAUAUAUCAUUUAUUUUGGUGUUAUUCUCUAGAAAGCAAAGAAGUAGACAACAAGCAUUUCUGCUACUUUUGCAACUUCAAGAAGUACAUAUUUAUUUUGGAGGGUUUUAUCUAACUGUACACUGUUGAAAAUAACAAAGUAUUAGUCAUAGUCACUAGCCUCGAGAAAUUUAGUGGAAGAAGGCACAGUAUUAUGUGUUUAAGAGUUAUGGAAAUGUGAGACCUAUAAAUCAGAGGAAAAUUGGAUUAUAAUUACAAUAAUUUUUGCAGAUGUUCAGAUAAUGGAGAGAAUUAUAUCUAAAUUGGGGAGAUUUCACAAUAGAAUUGCAACCCUUAAGGAUGUUGAGAUUUGAGUGUCUUUAACUGAAAGAGCAGCCCUUUAAAGAUGAGUUAGAUUAUAUUUUGUGGAGAUUAAGCUACCAAGGAAACUAGCCUGAUGGAGGUGAGGCAUAUUUUGAUCCCAUUCUGAUGGUAGGGAAGAGCAACAAUGAAAAUGAUGAUCAGAGACCAAGUUCCUGAUCUUUGAGUUCAUGUUUAGGCUUCAGGUCCCCCUGCCUCAAGAUGUGAACAUUACAAAUCAAUGUUUUUUAUUUAUUUAUUUAUUUAUUUAUUUAUUUAUUUAUUUAUUUAUUUCAAAUCAAUGUUAAAGGGAACUUUAAUUGCUACACACUGAAAUCUGGUAGAGAGGGAUUUGAAAUGGUCACACUGGUAUCCAGGCUGAACUGGAAAAAGCUGCUGGGUCUUUAUCAGGAUUAUUAAAUAGGACUUUUGUGCAGUAAUGAAGGCUGGGUAUUUGGGUAUUGUGUGGGAAUAUGAGAAAGAUUGAGCCUAACUAUUUCUAUUGAGAAACUGAUAGGAUUUGACCAAGUGAUUAUAUAGAAGGAAGAGUAAGAUCCAGAGAUGACACAUCAAUGACUAAAAUGGAGGAAGUGGGAAGGAUUUCUCACUAUAACAUGAUGUGGAAAUUUAACAAGCAUGAAGAGUGCCUCCUCCUCUGCCAGUGUUUCCAUAUAUCUCAGGUACUUUUAUUUUUAUUUUUAUUUUUUAUUUAUUUUUUUUUUUAUCUCAGGUACUUUUAGUCAUAAAUAUACAUGUAGAUAAUUUGCUCAGCAGCUUUCUUUGUAUUUAUUUCUGGUAACCAGAAUAUUUUCUUCCCCCUCUGACCAGGUAAAAGAUAAAUAAGAAUUGCUUAAAUUUCUUAUUUUCUAUAAAACUAGCCACACUUCAUUAUUGUACCAUGAGCAAAUAUAUUCAUAUUUAUAUUCCAUACUAAAAUACUGAGAGACUACUUCUAGACAUAAUAUCAACUGUAUGUAAUUUUCCUGUGUUGUUCUUUUGUGUUCUCUCUCUUUUUAAACGAUCUUAUUUAUUUAUUUGAAAGACAGAAAGAGUGAGAUAGAGUGCGUGCACAUGCACAAGCAGGAGUGGCGGUAGGGGGUAGAAGGAUAGGGAGAGGUAGGCUCUCUGCUCAGUAGGUAGCCUGAUGUGGGGCUCAAUCCCAGGACCCUGACAUCAUGACCUGAGCCAAAGGCAGAUACUUAACAAACUGAGCCACCCAGGCACCCCGUUUUGUGUUCUCUUAUAUUGGCAGCUAAUCACUGAUGACCAUUGUCUGAAAAUGAUAUUACGGCAAAUUUAAUCGGUUUGUUUUAAAGUAAAUAACAAGAGACAUUUAGGAUAAUGUUAGAAAUCUGAUACUGAAUUGAAUGGUAUUACAAAUAUUGUUUCUCUAUACUUUUAUACUAAG
rnacentral:lncRNA from 12 species